rnacentral:rRNA from 1 species
GGGUUGUGAGGUUAAGCGACUAAGCGUACACGGUGGAUGCCCUGGCAGUCAGAGGCGAUGAAGGACGUGCUAAUCUGCGAAAAGCGUCGGUAAGGUGAUAUGAACCGUUACAGCCGGCGAUGUCCGAAUGGGGAAACCCAGUGCAAUUCGUUGCACUAUCGUUAACUGAAUACAUAGGUUAACGAGGCGAACCGGGGGAACUGAAACAUCUAAGUACCCCGAGGAAAAGAAAUCAACCGAGAUUCCCCCAGUAGCGGCGAGCGAACGGGGAGCAGCCCAGAGUCUGAAUCAGCUUGUGUGUUAGUGGAACGGUCUGGAAAGUCCGACGGUACAGGGUGAUAGUCCCGUACACCAAAAUGCACAGGUUGUGAACUCGAAGAGUAGGGCGGGACACGUGGUAUCCUGUCUGAAUAUGGGGGGACCAUCCUCCAAGGCUAAAUACUCCUGACUGACCGAUAGUGAACCAGUACCGUGAGGGAAAGGCGAAAAGAACCCCGGCGAGGGGAGUGAAAAAGAACCUGAAACCGUGUACGUACAAGCAGUGGGAGCACCUUCGGGUGUGACUGCGUACCUUUUGUAUAAUGGGUCAGCGACUUAUAUUCUGUAGCAAGGUUAACCGUAUAGGGGAGCCGCAGGGAAACCGAGUCUUAACUGGGCGUUAAGUUGCAGGGUAUAGACCCGAAACCCGGUGAUCUAGCCAUGGGCAGGUUGAAGGUUGGGUAACACUAACUGGAGGACCGAACCGACUAAUGUUGAAAAAUUAGCGGAUGACUUGUGGCUGGGGGUGAAAGGCCAAUCAAACCGGGAGAUAGCUGGUUCUCCCCGAAAGCUAUUUAGGUAGCGCCUCGUGAACUCAUCUUCGGGGGUAGAGCACUGUUUCGGCUAGGGGGUCAUCCCGACUUACCAACCCGAUGCAAACUACGAAUACCGAAGAAUGUUAUCACGGGAGACACACGGCGGGUGCUAACGUCCGUCGUGAAGAGGGAAACAACCCAGACCGCCAGCUAAGGUCCCAAAGUCACAGUUAAGUGGGAAACGAUGUGGGAAGGCACAGACAGCCAGGAUGUUGGCUUAGAAGCAGCCAUCAUUUAAAGAAAGCGUAAUAGCUCACUGGUCGAGUCGGCCUGCGCGGAAGAUGUAACGGGGCUAAACUGUGCACCGAAGCUGCGGCAGCGACACUAUGUGUUGUUGGGUAGGGGAGCGUUCUGUAAGCCUGCGAAGGUGGCCUGUGAGGGUUGCUGGAGGUAUCAGAAGUGCGAAUGCUGACAUAAGUAACGAUAAUGCGGGUGAAAAGCCCGCACGCCGGAAGACCAAGGGUUCCUGUCCAACGUUAAUCGGGGCAGGGUGAGUCGACCCCUAAGGCGAGGCCGAAAGGCGUAGUCGAUGGGAAACAGGUUAAUAUUCCUGUACUUGGUGUUACUGCGAAGGGGGGACGGAGAAGGCUAUGUUAGCCGGGCGACGGUUGUCCCGGUUUAAGCAUGUAGGCGGAGGUUCCAGGUAAAUCCGGUACCUUAUUAACGCUGAGGUGUGAUGACGAGGCACUACGGUGCUGAAGUAACAAAUGCCCUGCUUCCAGGAAAAGCCUCUAAGCAUCAGGUAACAUUGAAUCGUACCCCAAACCGACACAGGUGGUCAGGUAGAGAAUACCAAGGCGCUUGAGAGAACUCGGGUGAAGGAACUAGGCAAAAUGGUGCCGUAACUUCGGGAGAAGGCACGCUGAUAUGUAGGUGAAGCCCCUGCGGGUGGAGCUGAAAUCAGUCGAAGAUACCAGCUGGCUGCAACUGUUUAUUAAAAACACAGCACUGUGCAAACACGAAAGUGGACGUAUACGGUGUGACGCCUGCCCGGUGCCGGAAGGUUAAUUGAUGGGGUUAUCCGUAAGGAGAAGCUCUUGAUCGAAGCCCCGGUAAACGGCGGCCGUAACUAUAACGGUCCUAAGGUAGCGAAAUUCCUUGUCGGGUAAGUUCCGACCUGCACGAAUGGCGUAAUGAUGGCCAGGCUGUCUCCACCCGAGACUCAGUGAAAUUGAACUCGCUGUGAAGAUGCAGUGUACCCGCGGCAAGACGGAAAGACCCCGUGAACCUUUACUAUAGCUUGACACUGAACAUUGAGCCUUGAUGUGUAGGAUAGGUGGGAGGCUUUGAAGCGUGGACGCCAGUCUGCGUGGAGCCAACCUUGAAAUACCACCCUUUAAUGUUUGAUGUUCUAACGUUGGCCCCUUAUCGGGGUUGCGGACAGUGUCUGGUGGGUAGUUUGACUGGGGCGGUCUCCUCCCAAAGAGUAACGGAGGAGCACGAAGGUUAGCUAAUCCUGGUCGGACAUCAGGAGGUUAGUGCAAUGGCAUAAGCUAGCUUGACUGCGAGCGUGACGGCGCGAGCAGGUGCGAAAGCAGGUCAUAGUGAUCCGGUGGUUCUGAAUGGAAGGGCCAUCGCUCAACGGAUAAAAGGUACUCCGGGGAUAACAGGCUGAUACCGCCCAAGAGUUCAUAUCGACGGCGGUGUUUGGCACCUCGAUGUCGGCUCAUCACAUCCUGGGGCUGAAGUAGGUCCCAAGGGUAUGGCUGUUCGCCAUUUAAAGUGGUACGCGAGCUGGGUUUAGAACGUCGUGAGACAGUUCGGUCCCUAUCUGCCGUGGGCGCUGGAGAAUUGAGGGGGGCUGCUCCUAGUACGAGAGGACCGGAGUGGACGCAUCACUGGUGUUCGGGUUGUCAUGCCAAUGGCAUUGCCCGGUAGCUAAAUGCGGAAGAGAUAAGUGCUGAAAGCAUCUAAGCACGAAACUUGCCCCGAGAUGAGUUCUCCCUGAGACUUUAAGUCUCCUGAAGGAACGUUAAAGACGAUGACGUUGAUAGGUCGGGUGUGUAAGCGUAGCGAUACGUUGAGCUAACCGAUACUAAUGAACCGUGAGGCUUAACCUUACAACGCCGAAGGUGUUU